GCUGGGUGUGGUGGUGCACACCUGUAGUCCCAGCUACUCAGGGGGCCGAGGUGGGAGAAUUGCUUGAGCCCGGGAGGUUGAGGCUGCAGUGAGCUGUGUUGUGCCACUGCACUCUAGCCUGGGUGACAGAGCAAGACCCUGUCUCAA
rnacentral:SRP_RNA from 1 species